UAUCAGCCGUCAUCUCAACACUCACUCC
rnacentral:sRNA from 1 species